AGUGAACGCUGGCGGCAGGCCUAACACAUGCAAGUCGAACGGCAGCACAGUGGAGCUUGCUCCAUGGGUGGCGAGUGGCGGACGGGUGAGGAAUACAUCGGAAUCUGCCCAGUCGUGGGGGAUAACAUAGGGAAACUUAUGCUAAUACCGCAUACGACCUACGGGUGAAAGCGGGGGAUCGCAAGACCUCGCGCGAUUGGAUGAGCCGAUGUCCGAUUAGCUAGUUGGCGGGGUAAUGGCCCACCAAGGCGACGAUCGGUAGCUGGUCUGAGAGGAUGAUCAGCCACACUGGAACUGAGACACGGUCCAGACUCCUACGGGAGGCAGCAGUGGGGAAUAUUGGACAAUGGGCGCAAGCCUGAUCCAGCCAUGCCGCGUGGGUGAAGAA
rnacentral:rRNA from 1 species